rnacentral:tRNA from 1 species
CCUGCCAUCGUCCAGCGGUCAGGACCCCUGGCUUUCAAUCAGGAAACGCCGGUUCGAUUCCGGCUGGCAGGA